rnacentral:lncRNA from 1 species
UCUCAAAGAGUACACUUCAUGCUGAAGGCAAGGAAAGCAAUAUGCUGUGCAGUGGUACCUACUGAAUCAUUACCAGUAUCUGAUAUAUGCUUGGAAGAAGGACAAUAUCAGACUCUUUUUGGCAUGGUUACAGGAUGUUAUGGCUUCAAAAGAACUCUGUAAUGUCCCUUGGGUAAACAGUCUUCAUUCACUCAGGAUUCUCAGGAUUGAAGCUUCUCAGGAUUGCAGCUCUUGGGGCAUUUAUUUCUUAUAGCAGAAAGAUGAUAUUUUCU